rnacentral:rRNA from 2 species
AUUGAAGGAGCUUGCUCCUGAUUGAUAAACAUUUGAGUGAGUGGCGGACGGGUGAGUAACACGUGGGUAACCUGCCCUAAAGUGGGGGAUAACAUUUGGAAACAGAUGCUAAUACCGCAUAAAACCUAACACCGCAUGGUGUAGGGUUGAAAGAUGGUUUCGGCUAUCACUUUAGGAUGGACCCGCGGUGCAUUAGUUAGUUGGUGAGGUAAAGGCUCACCAAGACCGUGAUGCAUAGCCGACCUGAGAGGGUAAUCGGCCACACUGGGACUGAGACACGGCCCAGACUCCUACGGGAGGCAGCAGUAGGGAAUCUUCCACAAUGGACGAAAGUCUGAUGGAGCAACGCCGCGUGAGUGAAGAAGGUUUUCGGAUCGUAAAACUCUGUUGUUGGAGAAGAAUGUAUCUGAUAGUAACUGAUCAGGUAGUGACGGUAUCCAACCAGAAAGCCACGGCUAACUACGUGCCAGCAGCCGCGGUAAUACGUAGGUGGCAAGCGUUGUCCGGAUUUAUUGGGCGUAAAGCGAGCGCAGGCGGUUUCUUAAGUCUGAUGUGAAAGCCUUCGGCUCAACCGAAGAAGUGCAUCGGAAACUGGGAAACUUGAGUGCAGAAGAGGACAGUGGAACUCCAUGUGUAGCGGUGAAAUGCGUAGAUAUAUGGAAGAACACCAGUGGCGAAGGCGGCUGUCUGGUCUGUAACUGACGCUGAGGCUCGAAAGCAUGGGUAGCAAACAGGAUUAGAUACCCUGGUAGUCCAUGCCGUAAACGAUGAGUGCUAGGUGUUGGAGGGUUUCCGCCCUUCAGUGCCGCAGCUAACGCAUUAAGCACUCCGCCUGGGGAGUACGACCGCAAGGUUGAAACUCAAAGGAAUUGACGGGGGCCCGCACAAGCGGUGGAGCAUGUGGUUUAAUUCGAAGCAACGCGAAGAACCUUACCAGGUCUUGACAUCCUUUGACCACUCUAGAGAUAGAGCUUUCCCUUCGGGGACAAAGUGACAGGUGGUGCAUGGUUGUCGUCAGCUCGUGUCGUGAGAUGUUGGGUUAAGUCCCGCAACGAGCGCAACCCUUAUUACUAGUUGCCAGCAUUUAGUUGGGCACUCUAGUGAGACUGCCGGUGACAAACCGGAGGAAGGUGGGGACGACGUCAAAUCAUCAUGCCCCUUAUGACCUGGGCUACACACGUGCUACAAUGGAUGGUACAACGAGUUGCGAGACCGCGAGGUUUAGCUAAUCUCUUAAAACCAUUCUCAGUUCGGAUUGUAGGCUGCAACUCGCCUACAUGAAGCCGGAAUCGCUAGUAAUCGCGGAUCAGCAUGCCGCGGUGAAUACGUUCCCGGGCCUUGUACACACCGCCCGUCACACCAUGAGAGUU